rnacentral:piRNA from 1 species
UGUUCUUGAGUGAGCAAGAAAAGCAUGC